rnacentral:rRNA from 1 species
UACAGAGGUCUCAAGCGUGGUUCGGAUUCAUUGGGCGUAAAGAGCUUGUAGGCGGUCUGUCGCGUCUGCUGUGAAAAUCCGGGGCUCAACCCCGGACUUGCAGUGGGUACGGGCAGACUAGAGUGUGGUAGGGGAGACUGGAAUUCCUGGUGUAGCGGUGAAAUGCGCAGAUAUCAGGAGGAACACCGAUGGCGAAGGCAGGUCUCUGGGCCACUACUGACGCUGAGAAGCGAAAGCAUGGGGAGCGAACAGG